rnacentral:rRNA from 1 species
UACGGAGGGUGCAACCGUUGUUCGGAAUCACUGGGCGUAAAGGGAGCGUAGGCGGGAGCCUAAGUUGGGUGUUUAAUUCCGGGGCCCAACCCCGGGCGUGCACUCAAAACUGGGUUUCUUGAAUAGGGGAGAGGUCGGUGGAAUUGGAGGUGUAGCGGUGGAAUGCGUAGAGAUCUCCAAGAACACCCGUUGCGAAGGCGGCCGACUGGACCCAUAUUGACGCUGAGGCUCGAAAGCAUGGGGAGCAAACAGG